CAAUUAUAUACAACAUGGAUUUCAUUACUCUUCAUUUUUGUUAUAUGUCACUUCAAGGCUUACCAGAUGCACUGGCUGACUGCUGGUGAGUGCUGUUCUCUCCCUGCCUUUGUCUUUGAUCAUAUGCUGCUUUUAGCUCCUUUUGAAGCUCAGCAGGAAGGGCAGCAAACACCUCAGGGUCCACCUAGUGGAAAAGGGAAGGUCAAAGUCAAACUUGAGUUAAUUGUAGAUGGUGGUUUGUACUUUUCACAAAAUAGAUUUUGUUUUCAAGUCAUACUUUUCUGAUCUGUACGCAUUCUUAACAGGUCCUCAACAUUAAAGCUCAUUAAGCUUCAAAAUGUUUAUGGUGAGAAUAAUGAAUUAAAUUUAGAGUACUAACUGACUUUAAACAAAACCACCACUGUAGCAGAACAACCAGGGUAGGGCAAGAUGCUUUAGGAAAUGGGAAGCAAAACAAGAAAACAGAAACUCGGGUUGUGCUGUUCAUUUCCACUAUUUUAUAUUCACGUGUGGCCCAGUGGUCUGUUCUGGCCAAUGAAGAAGGAGCAGAAUGUGAUAUUGGCUCACUUCUGGGGAGCAGCUUUAAGGACCCCAUGCCAUGCCCUCCCUCUCCUUUCCCCUCUGUUGCCAAACUCAGUUGCUUCAGGAGCAGGUUGCUUUGUCAGUCUGUGUCCCACACAUGCAGAAGGUGGAGCAGAGCCAACCGACCCCUCCCUCCCCAAUGGCCAUGGUGUAAGUGACUGAGAGGGUGCAGAGGAGAAAGGGAAGUGAGACAGGAUCUGAACUGGAGUAGGAUGGGUGAGAAUACUGAAACUGAGAAGGUCCCCAAAUUUAACUUACCUGUGAGAAUGCUGGAAGGGCUAUUACGUUUAUUCCUGUAUCACUGUUAGAUUCUUGAGGUUCUGGUAUUUGCAGCAAAACUGUUCCAACUGGUUGUGGCAAAAUUCCUGUAUUAGAGCCAUUUACUGGUUCUUUCUUUCUAUCACCAUGUGACUCUCCUUGCUGAAUGGCACAGACUUGUUCUACUUGUUCCCGCAGAUCGGGUGGAAGUGCUUCUAAAACAGACUGAUCCAGCUAUAAAAUACCAAACAUAAACGACUUUGAAGUUAGAGCAUGCUCAGAGACGAGGUGUUUGGGGAGUUAAUAAACCACUUUCAUUUCAAUUUGAACAUUUUGGAUAAUGAACAUAAGGUACACAUUACUAGUCCAGGAAAGCCACACAUUACUAGUCCAGGAAAGCCACACCCCCACCCCAAUCUGCACAUUUUUGGAAUGUCGUGGCCUUUCGCCAUUGAAGCCUGAAGUGAUGUAUGGACUCUGGAGAUGACAUGGGUACACUACCAGCCAGUACCACAUACUAGGUAAGUCCAAAUAUACUCACAGAAUGUUCCUGCAAUAGGAGCUGACAGACAGGUAGAAAGAGAACCUUGGUCAAACUCAAAUUUAGACUCUAACCCUGAGCAGGAGACAAUGCCUAAGACACACGUUAAAAUUCUGAGACAGUCUUGGUCAGAAGUCCACCUUAAAGCUAGCUGUGAGACUGCCCCAAAAUACAAAUAAUUUUCCUACUCUGAGAGCAGUAAGCUGGAAGAAAGAGUUUCUAGAAUCUAACUUUUCUCCAAACUGCAGACCAGAAUCCCUUGUUCCUCUGGCUAGGGCCUCCCCUCUGCUGUCUAUGCAUAUCCAGCCCUUUGGAAACAUGCAGUCCCAUAAACUAGGUAGUCCGACCUUAUCUUUCCAGGAGCAGCUAUUUAAUGCAAGCAUAACAACAGGGUGAUCUGUCACCAGCAAUUGGGAUCCUUUUCCCUAUGGCCAGUAUUUACAUCUCUUUUAACCACCUUCCACGGGGACAAAUAAAUUUUCCCAACAAAGCUUAAAGUACUACCUAUUUCCAAGGAGCAAAGUCCACACAAAUGGAAUUAAAAGCUUAUGAAAAUCAUACUCACUUUACAGAGAACAUUUGCAAAUGCUGCAAAACCCUUCACAACUGAUGAGCAAAGAUAGAGCAAGUCCACAUGAUCACCACUGUCACAGACAGUGGCAGUUCAUAGGAGGACUGCCUUUCGGCCAUGCUUUAUAAUUUAUAGGAGUUACAAAUAUUUGCAAGAACACUCUUUCAUCUAACCCAACCAUUGCUCAUUUAGAAUUCAACAUCAUGAUCCGCCCUAACAAAUAGUCCUUUCUCUCUUUCUUGGUUAUACUGAUGAAAUAUAACCAAAUUACAAAAAUGUCAUUUUCAUUUGGAAACCACUUUUGUACUUACAUUUAGGACUAUAAAAAUAUACCUGGGAAGGCGACGGGACCUCUAUGCUCAGGUUAAGUCUCGACUGAACAUUAACAGGAGAAUGCAGACCAUUCCAUUUCCUUGAAGACUCAGCUUUGCUGGUAUCAGGACUGAUAGCAGCUGGCAGAUGUGUAGGAAAAGAUGG